rnacentral:lncRNA from 1 species
CUGGGAACUGCCAAAUUGCUUUAACUUUUUUUAAAAAAUGUUGCAGCAGAAGUGUGGGAGAGUGGAGUUAUGAGGUUAUGCAGAAUCUACCACAAAUGGGCGAAUCAGCAAAGUCGCACAAAUAAAGGGACUUAGAAUAGUGAGGGUGCACAUAUGUAGCCACUAUUGGUGAUCACAUAACUGCCAUGGAAUAACAGUUUUAUGCAAAAAAAAAAGUCUUUCAAGGUAAGCACAUAAAUAACAAAUAUAAUUUCAUCAAAUUAGAUUUUUGCUGCCAUCCCAUGCUGCCUUAACCGUUGAUAAGCCCAAAUGAAUUCAGUGGGAACUAGUUCUGAAUCGACUUGUUUGAGAUUGCACUGUUAAGUAUGCAAAUGUCUCAAUGUUUCAGGUGCAGCAGCUGUUCUACUUAGGCAACAAGAUGCAAAAGAGGGCAUUUUUCACAGAGUUGAAUGCUGGGUUCAAGCCAGAAAUUCUUUUAUUCCAAUGUGGGUGGCCAGGUGCAGAAAAGGACAUGAAUUUACUACUGCGUUUCUAAUAGUUGUGUUGAAGAGAGAAUAUAGGUUGCAUGACAGGCCUGCCAGGUUGCAAAGAUAUGCUGGGACUUAAUUGCAGAAGAGCAUCAAGGGAGACUUGUAAUUGUGCCGUCAUUAAUCCAGUUAAACGCACCAUCAUUUCUUUUCAGCUGUGCUGUGUUAGUUGGAAGUGCUCCAGAUGCGACAUUGAGGAGGGAUUAAGCUGGUAAUUAGCAAUCCGCAUGUCCCAAACAAUGCCUGCUCGUACAAACCACCUUCAGUUUCUUGGAUCCAGGACUGGGCUUCUCUGACUGCAGAAUUUCCAGAGAUAUCAAUAUCCAAAUAGAGCUACACACACACUUUCCAAAUUCUAAUGAAAUAUUUCAAUCUUCAUUUCGAUUUGAGUGAAUAUUUACUCCAAAGACAUGUGCAACAAAUGUUACAUCGCUGAACGCUUAUUUUGGCAUGUUAACUAAAUUGGAAGCACAUACUCUUUUCACUGUGGGACUACCCCAAUAGCUAAUGAGGAACCAUGCAAAUAUAAGACAGAAGGAGUGUGAGCUGCAUGUUCCAGAACGGUAGCUAAUAGAACAAUCCUGUAUCUGCGUCCUAAGGAAAAUAUCCCAUUGUUUUUAGGAGAUGAUUUUCUUCCAGGUAACAAUGUAGUUGCACCAAGGAGUACAUCUACACUGUAA